rnacentral:misc_RNA from 1 species
GAACUGCGAUAAGUAAUGUGAAUUGCAGAAUUCAGUGAAUCAUCGAGUCUUUGAACGCACAUUGCGCCCCCUGGCAUUCCGGGGGGCAUGCCUGUCCGAGCGUCAUUGCUGCCCUUCAAGCCCGGCUUGUGUGUUGGGUCGUCGUCCCCUUCGGGGGACGGGCCCGAAAGGCAGCGGCGGCACCGCGUCCGGUCCUCGAGCGUAUGGGGCUUUGUCACCCGCUCGAUAAGGACCGGCCGGGCGCCAGCCGGCGUCUCCAACCUUUUUUUCUCAGGUUGACCUCGGAUCAGGUAGGGAUACCCGCUGAACUUAAGC